AGUGAACGCUGGCGGUAGGCCUAACACAUGCAAGUCGAACGGCAGCACAGUAAGAGCCUGCUCUUACGGGUGGCGAGUGGCGGACGGGUGAGGAAUACAUCGGAAUCUACUUUUUCGUGGGGGAUAACGUAGGGAAACUUACGCUAAUACCGCAUACGACCUACGGGUGAAAGCAGGGGAUCUUCGGACCUUGCGCGAUUGAAUGAGCCGAUGUCGGAUUAGCUAGUUGGCGGGGUAAAGGCCCACCAAGGCGACGAUCCGUAGCUGGUCUGCGAGGAUGAUCAGCCACACUGGAACUGAGACACGGUCCAGACUCCUACGGGAGGCAGCAGUGGGGAAUAUUGGACAAUGGGCGCAAGCCUGAUCCAGCAUACCGCGUGGGUGAAGAAGGCCUUCGGGUUGUAAAGCCCUUUUGUUGGGAAAGAAAAGCAGCAGGUUAAUACCCCGCUGUUCUGACGGUACCCAAAGAGUAAGCACCGGCUAACUUCGUG
rnacentral:rRNA from 1 species